UACGGAGGGAGCUAGCGUUGUUCGGAAUUACUGGGCGUAAAGCGCGUGUAGGCGGCUAAGUAAGUCGGGCGUGAAAUCCCACGGCUCAACCGUGGAAGUGCACUCGAAACUGCAUCGCUAGAAUUGUGGAGAGGUAAGUGGAAUUCCGAGUGUAGAGGUGAAAUUCGUAGAUAUUCGGAAGAACACCAGUGGCGAAGGCGACUUACUGGACACAUAUUGACGCUGAGGUGCGAAAGCGUGGGGAGCAAACAGG
rnacentral:rRNA from 1 species